UUAACACAUGCAAGUCGAGGGGCAGCAUGGUCUUAGCUUGCUAAGGCUGAUGGCGACCGGCGCACGGGUGAGUAACACGUAUCCAACCUGCCGUCUACUCUUGGCCAGCCUUCUGAAAGGAAGAUUAAUCCAGGAUGGCAUCAUGAGUUCACAUGUCCGCAUGAUUAAAGGUAUUUUCCGGUAGACGAUGGGGAUGCGUUCCAUUAGAUAGUAGGCGGGGUAACGGCCCACCUAGUCAACGAUGGAUAGGGGUUCUGAGAGGAAGGUCCCCCACAUUGGAACUGAGACACGGUCCAAACUCCUACGGGAGGCAGCAGUGAGGAAUAUUGGUCAAUGGGCGAUGGCCUGAACCAGCCAAGUAGCGUGAAGGAUGACUGCCCUAUGGGUUGUAAACUUCUUUUAUAAAGGAAUAAAGUCGGGUAUGCAUACCCGUUUGCAUGUACUUUAUGAAUAAGGAUCGGCUAACUCCGUGCCAGCAGCCGCGGCAAUACGGAGGAUCCGAGCGUUAUCCGGAUUUAUUGGGUUUAAAGGGAGCGUAGAUGGAUGUUUAAGUCAGUUGUGAAAGUUUGCGGCUCAACCGUAAAAUUGCAGUUGAUACUGGAUGUCUUGAGUGCAGUUGAGGCAGGCGGAAUUCGUGGUGUAGCGGUGAAAUGCUUAGAUAUCACGAAGAACUCCGAUUGC
rnacentral:rRNA from 1 species